UACAGAGGGUGCGAGCGUUGUCCGGAAUCACUGGGCGUAAAGGGCGCGUAGGCGGCGCGGUAAGCGUGCGGUGAAAGCCCGGGGCUCAACCCCGGGUCGGCCGUGCGGACUGCCGGGCUGGAGCACUGUAGAGGCAGGUGGAAUUCCGGGUGUAGCGGUGGAAUGCGUAGAGAUCCGGAAGAACACCGGUGGCGAAGGCGGCCUGCUGGGCAGUAGCUGACGCUGAAGCGCGAAAGCCAGGGGAGCAAACGGG
rnacentral:rRNA from 1 species